rnacentral:misc_RNA from 1 species
GAGCCAGGUAAUUUAGAAAGUAAUCAAAUUCAUAUAUUCUAGUAAGACGAUUUUGUUAAUUGAAAGCUGGUGAGAACAUAAAUUUAUGGCGGUGUUUGAAUUUAUAUGUCACUUUAUAAUGGGCAUGCAAGAAAACAUAAUUACUUCCAUUAUUAUUAGAAUGCUUAUUCGUUGUGGUAACCCAACAAAAAUGGUUCAAUAGUAAUUUAAAUGCUGUGUGCUGAUUUCCUUUUAUUGUUUUGUUCAAUUCUCUAUUAAUUCUAGCUUGCCGGUACACUGUUUCUGGCUUUGAUUUUGGGU